AAAAAACACUGACACCAGUGGUUUCUCACUUAACUUAAUUUUAUUGCCGAUAUAAUUGCAAACCAGAAUGACAUGAUCAAAAAGAAUAUAACCCAAAGAGUCUUUAAAACACCUUUAUUCUAGUUGUGAAAAAUGUUUAAAUUGGCGAUUGGGAAAACAGUAAAAUUUCCCCUUAAAGCAUUUUCCCCAAAUAAAAUCCUGAUCUGAGAUAAUCCAGAUAGGAACUGCCCGAUCGUACUACGAAAGUGAUGCUAACUUCAGCAUCGUGAGGGACACCUGGUUACGGAGAAAUGAAACUGAAAAUAACAGAAACAAGUGGUUUAAAAUCAGUGAUACUAUCACUGAAAUAAUGUGCUGACAUGUGCCCCUUUUUAUAAUUUAAAAGAAACGAUGCGUUUGAGUGGUGUGACACAAAGGGUGAAUAGUUAACGUGGUGAAAAGAACGGGGGUCCAACAUGAGCAAGAACCUAAAGGCAACACUGGCCCAUAGCAACCACUGCAGGGGUUCAGUGUACCUUAGCAACCAUGGAGGACGAGCUUUCAGUGAUGAAAGAAGAAGGAAAAGAUGUCACACAGGGACAGAAAGAAGUCCUCUACAAGCGAGUCGAAGAACUGAAAUGUUCCAAUGCAGCCCUCCUGGUAGAGAAUGACAUGUUUGAACGGUUCAUCAGCCGCCUGGAUCCACAGGAUCUGGUGCCCCAGGCUGUGGGGGGAGGUGUGGGGCCACCAGGAGCCUCCCAGGUGGAGAAUGGGGUGAGUGACACCUGGUGAUGAGACUAUGUAGCCAUAUAUACAAACCUUAGUACCUGUUGAGAUUGUAGGUUUUCCACUGAAAGUGAACACACACGGUCUGCACACAAGGUCACAAAACUGUAUUAAGAAUUCAAAACUCAACCUCAAAUACUGUUUAGG